rnacentral:pre_miRNA from 1 species
AGUGAGGGCAUGAUCCAAAGCCCAUUGAAAUCAAUGGGAGUCUUUCCACUGACUUUGGUGGGCUGGGGAUCAAGCCCUGGCU